rnacentral:rRNA from 1 species
AUACGUAGGUGGCGAGCGUUAUCCGGAUUUACUGGGCGUAAAGGGCGCGUAGGCGGGGGCGCAAGUCAGGUGUGAAAUCUAUGGGCUUAACCCAUAAACUGCACUUGAAACUGCAUCUCUUGAGUGCUGGAGAGGUAGACGGAAUUCCUUGUGUAGCGGUGAAAUGCGUAGAUAUAAGGAAGAACACCAGUGGCGAAGGCGGUCUACUGGACAGUAACUGACGCUGAGGCGCGAAAGCGUGGGGAGCAAACAGGAUUAGAUACCCUGGUAGUCCACGCUGUAAACGAUGAAUACUAGGUGUGGGGGGACUGACCCCCUCCGUGCCGCAGUUAACACAAUAAGUAUUCCACCUGGGGAGUACGGCCGCAAGGUUGAAACUCAAAUGAAUUGACGGGG